rnacentral:rRNA from 1 species
AAUUUUGGACAAUGGGCGCAAGCCUGAUCCAGCCAUGCCGCGUCAGUGAAGAAGUCCUUCGGGUUGUAAAGCUCUUUCGUACGGAAAGAAAUCGCGCAGUCUAUUACUCGUUGCGUAUGACGGUACCGUCAUAAGAAGCACCGGCCGACUACUUCCCCGCAGCCGCGGGAAUACGUAGGGUGGGAGCGUUAAUCGUAAUGACUGGGCGUAAAGCGUGCGCAGGCGGUUGAUUAAGACAGGAAUGAAAUCCCCGGGGUUAACCUGGGAACUGCGCUUGUGACUGGUCAGCUAGAGUAAGGCAGAGGGGGGUGGAAUUCCACGUGUAGCAGUGAAAUGCGUAGAGAUGUGGAGGAAAACCGAUGGCGAAGGCAGCCCCCUGGGCCGAUAAUGACGCUCAUGCACGAAAGCGUGGGUAGCAAACAAG